AUUGAACGCUGGCGGCAUGCCUUACACAUGCAAGUCGAACGGUAACAGGUUAAGCUGACGAGUGGCGAACGGGUGAGUAAUGUAUCGGAACGUGCCCAGUCGUGGGGGAUAACUGCUCGAAAGAGCAGCUAAUACCGCAUACGACCUGAGGGUGAAAGCGGGGGAUCGCAAGACCUCGCGCGAUUGGAGCGGCCGAUAUCAGAUUAGGUAGUUGGUGAGGUAACGGCUCACCAAGCCGACGAUCUGUAGCUGGUCUGAGAGGACGACCAGCCACACUGGGACUGAGACACGGCCCAGACUCCUACGGGAGGCAGCAGUGGGGAAUUUUGGACAAUGGGCGCAAGCCUGAUCCAGCCAUGCCGCGUGCGGGAAGAAGGCCUUCGGGUUGUAAACCGCUUUUGUCAGGGAAGAAAAGGUUCUGGCUAAUACCUGGGACUCAUGACGGUACCUGAAGAAUAAGCACCGGCUAACUACGUG
rnacentral:rRNA from 1 species